GGAACGAUGGCUGAUCGGUUGAAAGCACCGGACUGUAAAUCCGGCGGAUAUCCUCCCUGGCAGGUUCGAUUCCUGCUCGUUCCCCA
rnacentral:tRNA from 1 species